CGAAGGCCUCACUGACGCAUGAGCUCAUCCAGCUGAUGGCAGGUUCUCUCCCCCAGCCAGACAUGGCGGGUUUCCAGGCCGAAGAGCUCCCAGGUCCCCCUCCGCUGUUACUCCACACCAACAGCUUCAUCCUGACAACUGCGGUGGCCAGUGAAGUAAGUGAGUGGUCCUCUGUGGUCCUGCGUGGCUACGGGGUCGAGGCCCACGGUGUCCACAUUGGACACGGUGAUGGCAAAUCCCACCGGCUGAUGAGUAGCAGACUGAGCAAGACAAUGGGGUAGCAUGGUCCCGACCUGCAGGGGGCGCAGUGGAGUCCUUUAAUAUUUCACCACCCCCAAGGGGCGCUCUUUUAAUUACAGACACGAUCACUAGUCCCACCACAGUCAACUGUUCCCUCAUUUCCUCCCUAAUGCGACCGCCUAACGUACGGUGCCUUUCCGCAGGACCCGGUCCGGUUGUCGUGGAGCCUCUCCUUCCCCGAGAGCAGAACCGCCG
rnacentral:lncRNA from 1 species